CGGGGUGUAGUGCAGUGGUAACACGCACCGUUCGGGACGGUGAGACCGCAGGUUCAACUCCUGUCACCCCGACCA
rnacentral:tRNA from 1 species